UAGUAUAGGAUACCAAACUAAAGUUAGAACAUGGAAGUAAAGUAUACUUCAAAAUAAUAAAAUAUAUAGGUUAGAAAAUAAGAAAAAACAAACGUGUGGUAGGAUAAUCUUUUUAUGAGUGUCAAAUCAUAUAGUCAUAAAAUGGACAUAAACACAUGAAGUUUUACGAAAAUCUUUAAAACUAUUGUGACAUUUCAUUUACGACUCACAAAAAGACCAAAUAUCCAGUUUUGGAGCCAUUUGCCCAUAUGAAUGGCCCGUUAAUAUAAGACCAAAACAAUGUAUCAUUGAUAUUGACGACCAAAGGGUCCGUUAAUGCCCAAAAAGUGUGAGAUUUUAAGUAGAAAAAAACGAUGUCUCGGUAAGUCUCUCUUUCUUUAAAGAUAGACAACACAUCAAAGGGACGACGAUGAUUGAUAAGUGAUAAAUAUUCAGUUCCUCGGUCCCUGCUUCCACAUACCAAUGAUUAGUGGAUCGGUUAGGUUCGAGCCAAUUCCAGAUUCAUUCCGAGCCACCAUUUUUGUCAAUCGGACGGUCGUUGUUGCUCCACCGUUUUUAUUCGUCUGCGAUAAAAUUGGUUGCUCUAGUGCAUUUGAUAUGAAAGUGGAUUUAUCACAGACGCAGAUUGAUGGAUUUGGCACCCAGAUUUCAACUCAUUCCUCUUGGUUUAGUGAGAAGUAAGGAGACCGUAGAGAAAAUAGAAUGGCAAAUGAACCAUCCAUUGAUAUGUGAAAGGAUUUUUUCAUCGUGAUAAAAGGUACAAUGUUGGUGUGAGAUGUACUGGUUUUGUGUUCGGUGAGUUUAGAUCUUGGAAAAGAGUGUGUAUUUAUAGUGUUUUGAGAAGAUUGAUAUAGUUUUUAGGUUAGAGAUUAAAAAAAAUUUUGGUGAGCAAGUGUAAAAUAUCUUUACAAAUCUUUGAAUCGAGAAUCUAUAGAAUAUGCCACAUAAAUGCUACGAAAAAUAAGAAUAAAAUCGUUUAGUUAUGUAACAUUUCUAAUUAAUUGGGUGAGAUUGAAUUUUGAAUUAAUAUUGUUCAUUUUACUUAGGAAACAAACUGACUUGCAUCAAAAUCUCUAGUAUUAUAAUAGGAAACAAUUUGAUUGUCAAAUAUUGGUUUGUUAGAACCAUAUAUACGUAAAAAUAUUGUCAAAUCUUUAUAAACUAAUUAAAUGUCGUUUUCUGUAUUUGUAGAAAUUAGGCAAGAUCUUAUUAAAGAUUUCCAAUCAUUUUAAUUUGUUAGGAUUUUUUUAGGAAAGUCUCAUAUUAUGUGGAUCUGAGACUUAUUUACGGAUUAAAAUCAAUAAGUAGAUAUUCAAUUUGUUAUAACUAUAUAUAUUCUCCAUAUCUUUCAAUUAUGAGAAAAUAUAUGUUGGUUGCCUU